AGGAUUAUAAUUUAUAUAAAAUAAUUAAAUUGCAAUUAAUAAAAAUUGAAUAUCAAUUAAUCUUA
rnacentral:tRNA from 1 species